ACAGCCCUAGCGAACGGUCGCCGCUUGCUCAGCUCCUUAGUCCCUGACGCCGCCGGCCUCCCCGCCGACUCCGUGUGGCCGCUGACGUCGCGCGACGGCCUUGUCCUCUUCAGACUCCUCAACCAUAGCCCCGGGCCGCUGAUCGGCGUCCCGCUGGCCAUGUGCAGUCUGCUCGCCGGCACAUGCGUCGUGCUGCCCCCGUUCGAAUGGUAUAUAUACUACGUAGGCCAUGCCAUUCUAACCAGCGCGGACUGCCGGCCAUCGUCGUCGUCCUCGUUCAAAGUGCUAAUGAUCGUAGCAGGGGAGACGGACUACGACCUCCACACCUUCGUGGCUGGCCAGCCGAGCUGGAACGCGCCUACUAGGUGCCUAAGCAGGGCGGCGCUGGGGUUCCUCGUGAACAGCGACGCCGUCGUUUGCCAGGGCGCAGCGCACUGGCUCUUCUGCGCGUCCUCCAUCUUCCACGUCCUUCGCGUCGACGCCGAGACCGGCCGCGUCUCCUCAACCAAGCUCAUGAGCCCCAUGAGCCCGUGUGUCAGCAACCACGAUCUCACUGUCCAGGGCGACCGAAGCCGCCUCGCUACCACCACCGAUGGAAAGCUCUUGUCGCUCUGCUUGUAUGACGCAGGCCUCCAGUUGGUGGAGAUCUGGACGCAGCCCGCGGCAGGGCAUGGACAAGACUGGUCGCGCACCGGGGUGAUCGACCUAGAACCAAUCCUGGAGCAGCCUCAACGAGUUCCGUAUGUUUGGCUGCGAGAGAGGUGCGGCAAGCUGAUCAUCAUGCUCCCAGAGCACCACGGCUACCUUGCCAAUCUCCAAACCGGGACGACGCAAGAGCUGGACAGCAUGUCUUCUUCUGGCCCCAUCGGCGAAUCUGGAGUCUACAUGGAGAUAGAUUGGACCGCCUUCUUCAUGGCUCGCCUAGCAUGCACAACUGGCUACAACCAACCAUUAUACUAA
rnacentral:rRNA from 1 species